UUUCCAUCACUAGUCGCUCUCCAUUCCGAUCCAGAUCCCACCGCCCCAGCCUUCUGCCCUUCCCUUCCCUUCCCCGGCGAGCAGCCCGCUCCAAUCCUCUCCCACCCGUGUCGCCGUGCUCCCCAAAGGGCUCCCUCAUGACUCCAUCUGCUGCACAAAUACCAGCGAGAUCCGGGUCGACGGGGCACGGUCGAUAUCGUCAUCAACCUCCAGUCCCUCGUGCCUCGUGCGGGGUGCGGCAAGUUCCCACUGGUGGAGCACUAAGGCCGUAAGGCAAGCUCCCGGUGGCAGCCCUGGCCGCUGAGCCAGGUCCGAGGAGAAUGGCUCACCGGCGUCCAUGGUGCGGGCUUGGAUCGCUGGUCCGCGGUGGUGGCGAGGGGUUGCGAGGGUCUGGUGUGGACGAGUGGUGGUGUUGGCCGCGGAUCACAGAGGUGGCACGCCGGGGAUGGAUCCGCGGGGUAGCGUGUAGGCCUCUGAAUCUUCCCCCGGUCGUGGUCUCCACGCCUUGCCAACGUGGUCCUCGCCUGCCAACUCCAUCGAGAGCUGUGAGGUGGCAGCCGGGAAGAUCAGGAUUCAAGUUGGACAUGCGGCACCUACACGCUACGCCGAGCUGCGCCUUGCUUCCCCGUGGUCUAGCGCGGGGGUGGUCGCUUCCACAUGCCUCUGUUGGACUCGGCAGUGGGUUCGCUCCUGCUGAUGCCUCAUCCCCGUCCUCGACAACGACGGAUGAAGAAGCAAGGUGUGGGGAGCCUCUUCCUCCUGGAUGGCCCCGAGUCCAGCACCAUCCGACCCUGUAACACCGGGUGCUUUGUUACAAGUUCCUCUUUACCCUGAAAAAGAGCAGUAGCACAAGCAAAAAUGGUUGAAAUGUCUACUGUUUGAAAGAGAGAUUUCAUAUAUGGAAUUGAGAUUGUUACCUAUCAGUUAUUUGAAGGACAAGAUAAACAUGCUCGAUGUUGUAUCUGUGCAUUGUCUUUCUUCGUGGUGUUAGCCGUUCUACCGAUUGUUUCUUCAUUUGUAGCUGCCAAUAGCGAAUACUACAAUGGGACCA